rnacentral:rRNA from 1 species
UACAUGGGGUGCAAACGUUGCUCGGAAUUAUUGGGCGUAAAGCGCGCGUAGGCGGUUACUCAAGUCGGAUGUGAAAGCCCUCGGCUUAACUGAGGAAGUGCACCCGAAACUGAGUAGCUAGAGUACUAAAGAGGGUCGCGGAAUUCCCGGUGUAGAGGUGAAAUUCGUAGAUAUCGGGAGGAACGCCGGUGGCGAAGGCGGCGACCUGGGUAGAUACUGACGCUGAGGCGCGAAAGCGUGGGGAGCAAACAGG